rnacentral:sRNA from 1 species
UUUGCCCCACCGUCAAGUCCCUGUUCCCCAGGCGGGUUUCAGCUGAUUGGCGGCAGGCUCCCUGAGUAAUGAGCUUGAACCCGUGGUGUUUCUGGGCAGAGGCUUAUCUUUUUUGUGAGUGUCCAAAGAUGAAGGCAUGGCGAUGCCCGUCCUCUGGCUUGGGUUAAUUCUUCGGUGACGUCGGCGUUGCUGGGAGAAUGCGCCAUUCCUGCCCUGCCUCCACCCACCUCGGGAGCAGAAGCCUGGCCUGGACACCCCUCGAAGGAGAGGGCGCUUCCUUGAGUAUUGACUAGGCUAUUUUUGCCCACUGUAAAAGGCACUCUCAUCCUGGUAUCAAGAUCCCGGAGAGGCCAGAUUUGAA